AUAUUCAUGGCUGAGUGGUAAAGCACUAGGCAUCUGAAAGGAAAGGCCCUGGUUCAAAUCCUGGUGAAUACU
rnacentral:tRNA from 1 species